UCUAAUGUGGCAGAUUAGUGCGGUGGAUUUAAGUCCCAAGUAUAAAGUUUAUGCUUUCUUUAGAA
rnacentral:tRNA from 1 species